GCCAGGCACGGUGGCCCACGCCUGUCAUCCCAGCAGCUUGGGAGGCUGAGGCAGGAGGAUGGCGAGUUCAAAGCCAGCCUCAGCAACAGUGAGGCGCUAAGCAACUCAGUGAGACCCUGUCUCUA
rnacentral:sRNA from 1 species